AAAACCCCUUUAACCCGUCUCUGCCACCAUCAGCCACCAGCUGUCUGGAAUGGAGUGAAGUCAGCAGGAAACCACAGAGACGCCACAACUAGCCGCCUUGUGAUCUUCUGCAGUGGGGCCAGGGCACAGGCUUAGGGCCCUGGCAACACCGGGUGAGUGCCAGCAAUGUGUGAGGGUGGGCACCUCAGCCCCCACAGGCUCUUUCCUUGGCCAGUCUGCUCCUCAGCCUCCACUCCAGCUGCCCCUAAAGGUACCAGCCUAAAGGUACCAAGAAGGGCAAGGAGAGGAGAUGCGGAUGCUGGCUAGAGAAGGAUUUCAGGGAUUGGAGAGUUGCAGGGGGUUGUCUGUCGGUCAGUCUCAUUUCUCUGAGAACAAGAGCAACUCAAGAGCUCAUCAGAAAGAGGCAGGAAGCGGGGGAGGAGUUCUCUUUCCAGCUUUUGCGCUGGAGCCAGCAGACUGGCUGGGAGGAGAUGUGGAACUGAGAGGGGGGAAGUAACAGCAGCUGACUUGGCCUCAGACGGAUCAGGGGGGAGGGCCACUAAAGAAAGGUGUGUCUAAGGCCACUGCAGGUACUCUCCAAGCUAGGGAGGGGGGCUACUGCAGAUAUCCUCAAUCUGUGACACCCUGAAGCUCCUUUGCUUGGGCUUCUGGUACAGGGUCUCUGUGGAUGGUUCAGAACGGUUGAGGUUCCCUGUAUACCCACAUUCUGCCCAAAAUGAUUGUGCCUCUGGCUGGGUGAGCUGUCCAGCACAAGGCUCUGGGAACACACUGACUUCCAGACUGCCAGUUACCUGACGGCUGAUCGGACUGUGAUGAAGGAGGUUGGGAAGAGGUAGAUGGGUAGGUCCAAGGUCCAAGCCUGCCCUUGCUCUGACGGGAGUGAGAGCAGGGAGAAAAGAUGACUAAGUCCCUUCCUAUGGAGAUCUCCCCCCAUCCAGGCUCGUCAGGGCGCAUGGGCGGAGGAGGAGACUGGAGGAGAUGGACAGCCACACAGUCCCCAGUUCUCCCCAUCAACCACCAGCCUGCCCUUGGAAGCAUCAAGGUCUGCUCCAUACCACCCGUCCCCCAGCCCCAUGUGUCCUAUGAGGAGAAACAGGCAGUAGUAGCUGGCGAGACUUUGACAAUCAUAGAGAAUCCAACACUAGAAGAGGAAGGGUGGGGAAAAGAGACAAACGUUCGAGUUGAGAAAGUCUGAAUGGGAAGCAAUGUCAAGAGAGAAUGACCCCUCUUCCUCCAGCACAUUACCAAUGCUGCUUGGACUCAGGGACAUCCCCUCCCCCGCCCCAGACUUGUUUAUGAGAUAAGGAACCGAGGGAACAGAUUUGGGCCAGGAUUCCCAGGAGGGCCCAGUCACCCUCCUGCCCUCCCCGCCCUCUCCCACGCCCUCUCCCACGCCUCCCUGUGGUCUGCCCACGCAGAACCGCCGGCCAGCUGCUGUCCUCUACCUCUCCCCGGCAACCAGCCCUCCGACCCGCUUCAGACACACAGACAUCAACAAAGUCACGCUUCCGAGUCACAUGCCCACUGUUUUCCUCCCUCCGGCGGGCGGGCGGGCGGGCAGGGGCUGCGUGGAGGAGGGGCGCCGCGGGUCCGGGGAGCGGUGGGGGGGGGGGCCUUGACAGCGCCCACCUCCCUCCCGGGGACGCCGACCGCCGCGAGAUCCCUGCCCCUUCCACGGCCCCCGGCGGCCUGGCCUGCCGCAGCCCAGUCCCCAGGCCGGUGGGCGCCGGACACUGGCUCGCUCGCUCGCGCACUCACCACAGUGACUGGGGACACCAUGGCGGCGGCGGCGGCGGCAGCGGCUGGCACUCCGCUCCGGGCUGCAGCGGCCAGGACGCGCCCGCGGCCAGGUGAGUAGGCAAAGACGUAACAAAGCCCGGGGUGACGGACAACACCUCCCGCUCGCCGGGCGCUGGGGUUUCUGUCUGCGAUCCCCACGACGUCAUAGCACCCACGGCCAAUGAGCGGCCUGGAGUCGGGGGGCGGGGCGCUAGAGACCCCGCCCCUCUGGGAACCUGUGCCAGGGCAUCCCAGAACGUGACCGUGACCCCCCCAGGCCCUGGACGAGGGCCGAGCUUGACUGAGAGACAAACACAUUCCUGUAGUGUGCACGCGGCCACACACAUCUUCUCCUAACCCUGGGGAUACAAGGCGAUUCCCUCCCGUCUUUAAACAUGCAGUACACACGGACAUAGUUACGAUUAGACCCACAACCUUCACUGCAUACCCACACAUGUCUACAGGACACACAAUGGGCAGGGUACACACAGUCUUCAAGCUGAAAAGAGACACUCAAAUAGGUACACAGCAGCCCAUAGACUCGUAGUCCUAACGUAUAUACAAACAUGUACAGAAUUACAAUUACCUUUAGGCAUCAUACAAGUACUCAGACACAAACCCAGAAACCGCAUUUGGACUCCCAUCCCUCAUGGUAAAAACAGGGACACAUAUACAGGCACGCAGCAGCCUCCGGAGCACCGAUACUUAAUUGCUCUUGGGCACACGCCUCUCAUAGCUCAGAGAAGACAGUAACAUGAGAACAUACCAGAAUGACUUGACAGGCAGACCUGAGCAUACUUAAGGACCCGAAGGAGUAUACUAACUUUCUCAAAAAUCCGGCUUAAGCAAAUUUAAUGUCUGUAUUACACAGACUAAAGGUACACAGGCACAUUUGGAACCAAGUCUCAUCAGAAUCAUGGGAAUUACAUGGGUGGACAGGUCUCACUUGCCCUCUGGCUUCUGACUGAGCUUGGCUCAUGAGAGUCAGAGGCAGAUCUGAAGGUGGAAGGAAAGCAUGGGUGGGGUUCCCCCUCACCAGCUUGCUGGGCUGAGCUGAAGUUCUGGCGAUGGCUGUGCUUCUCCAUGGCUACACCUCCAGGCUCCUGCGCUGGACCUCAGGGAUGGCAACCUCUCCCUGCUGUUGCUGGUCUUUAGGUCACGUCAUGCAGCUGGUAAAGUCUACACUGACAUCCAAGGCGCCUUCAGGACCUGCAGCCCAGCCCCACCUUGUGUAUAUGACUGGAAUGCAUGGAACCGGAUAGGAGCUCACCAAGUAAAGAGAGAAAACCUCAAGCUAUAGUCAUUGGCUCCAGUGCAGGUGUCUAAAGGCCCAGGCUCCAUUCCGGGCUUAGCAAGUCAACUAACCACUGUGAGAAUCCAUGUAAUACCUGUCUGUAGUAAAGAAGAAGAAGGAGGAGGAGAAGAGUGCACAGUAAGUUUCCUUCCCAUCCUUCACCCCCUGCCUCCCUCCCCAGGGAGAACCAUUGUGGAUGGUUUCUUGGAUAUCCUUACAAAAUGUUCAAUUAAUUUAUAAAUCGGUCUCCUCCCUCCCCUCUCCGUUACACACAAACUGGAAAAACUAUGUAUGAUGAUGUUCCUCUUGCUUUAUUCACUUGGCAGAAUAUCCUGGAAUUCUUUCCUCAUCAGUGUAUGUGUGCUGCUCACCAACAGAUGUAUAUACCACAGAUCUACACCAUUAAUUAAAUGGCUGCAUGGUAUCCCGUUACCUUGAUAUGUUACCACGUGUUAAUCAGUCCCCAUUGGGUAGAUAUUUAGGCUGUACUAGGUUUUGGCUAGUACAACAAUGAAUCUCUGUGUAUGAGCAAAGCUGUUUGAUAAAUCCCUAAGAAAGAGCUAAAUCACUGGCUAAAGGCAGCAUGCAUUUUUGAUUUUGAUAUUAAUCCAAAGAUGAUGCAUCAGUCUCCACUCACAUAGUAUUUCCUCACACUUUCACAACACUGUUACUAAUCCUUUUGAUAUUUUUAUUUUUGCCAAUUUGAGAGGUGGGAAACAUCUCAUUAGGUUUAGUCAUUUAAUUAUGAAUGGAUUCAGCCUCCUCUCACGUUUAUUAGUCAUGCAUAAGCUGUUCUUUCUGUGACCUGCCUGUUUCUUCUUUUGUGGUUUGAUUUGAGAUCCUUGGCAGUCACAAGGCCCUUCCCUAGACCUGCUCUCCACACACCUGUAGUUCCUCCCCCUGUCCUGCUCGGUUCUCUACUGCCGCCUAGUGACAGGGGUUGGAUUUACCACAGUUCCUCGCAGAUGCUCUAGUUGCAGGCUCCACGCUGGGGGUUUAACUCCCAGUUGGAAUCAUGCCCUUAGUUCCCAAAUAAAAAAAUCAGGAUCUCUAGUUAAAUAUGAAUUUCAUAUAAAUGACCAAUAACUUUUUGGCUGGUACCUACUUAUUUCUAAAAACUAUGCAUGGUUUAUCUGAAAUCCAAAUUUAACUAGGUGUCAGGUAAUUUAUCAGGCAACCCUAUUCUAAGGCCUCCCGCUAAAUCUGGGUCCCCAUCGUCACCCCGCCUUACCUCCUUUAUUCUUAGCAAGUUCUACUGUGCCACAUUCCAACCUGGCAGUUUUCAAAACUAUGGUUGCAGGUGAUACAUAAAUCACUGUGGUUAAGACCUGGGCUCUGGAUUUGAAUCCUGACUCCGGCCACGUACAAGGUGUGAAAUCUCGUGAAAGUAACAUCUUCUCUGGAGCUCAGGUUUCCUCAUCAAGAGAAUAAUAUUUUCCUCAUUGGGUUGCUUUGAUGAUUUCUGACAUUAAAGCUACCAUUUAUUAAGCACUUUACGUGUGUCAGUUCCUGUUAUUAUAAUUAGAGUAAAAACAAAAACAGCAAUU